rnacentral:rRNA from 1 species
UACGUAGGCAGCAAGCGUUGUUCGGAGUUACUGGGCGUAAAGGGUGUGUAGGCGGUUGCUUAAGUUUGGUGUGAAAUCUCCCGGCUCAACUGGGAGGGUGCGCCGAAUACUGAGUGACUCGAGUGUGGGAGAGGAAAGUGGAAUUCCUGGUGUAGCGGUGAAAUGCGUAGAUAUCAGGAGGAACACCGGUGGUGUAAACGGCUUUCUGGACCAUAACUGACGCUGAGGCACGAAAGCGUGGGUAGCAAACAGG